CCUGCCCCGAGGGAAAGGCUAUGGUACCGGGUUCAAGCACUGGACAUUCCUGGGGCUGCCCCGGCUGAAAUAACCUGUGCUAUUUGGGGAUCCAGGGACCACAUGCCAGGGGAGUCGGGUGCCGAACACGCUUUGGUUCCACUGAAAAUCCUAACCACAGAAAACACACCAGAGAGUGGCUAAGAGUUCCCCCAGGCCUCGGAAAAUCUACCCUCAUUCAUUCAGUGUCAAUAAGGGUUCACCUAUCAAGCCACACACCUAACUGCACAGAAGAACAAACAAAGGCUGACACUGUGUGAUACCUCUGAGCCUCGGCUACCUUCACAUUGCAGCAGAAUAUCUGUGGAAUCGGAAGAUGUCUCGGCUGACGAAUAGAAUCAGGUCCCAAAGCCUCAGUGCCUCCAUCCACAUGGAGCUCAGGGUCUCAGAAUGUUGCCAUCGGAGUCCCAGGGAGCUACCUGCGCCAAGGAGCUUGGAGACCCCAAUGUCCUAUGGACUGCAGCUUCAGGAAGCCUGGACUGGGCCCUCUGACUUCAACGAGAUUCCCUUCCGCUGAGCUUUCAGCUGCUUCCCAUUUUUCUGAACCACUGCUAACAUUUCACAACAACAACUAAACCAACAUUUUGUAUAUACAGCCUUGGACAGAAGGCGGGUUACUGUGCGAACUCUGGGAAGAAAUGCAGCAGAAUCUCACCGCCUCUGGGAAUAUGUGCUUGUGAAAUAGAAGCUGCACAGACUUCUUUGCUUUCAAAGAAAUGCAGCACAUUGGGAAUCAAGUGUCAGGAUUUCCAAGAUGGAAGCAUUUCACCAAUAUCUAGGUACACAGAUAAAACAAAGAAGAAACAGACAGUCUAAGCUAGCCCAGAAAGGCCAUGCUAAAUGUAUAAGUCUGUAAAGCACCACAGUUUUAGAACACAUAUAAAUCAGUAAGAAGCUUUGUAAACAGACAUAUUGUUGUUGAUUUCAAAUUACCCGUUACUCUGAGCAGUGUGUGUUAUUUUGCAGGCUCAGCGAAAUAAAA